rnacentral:rRNA from 1 species
CCUACGGGAGGCAGCAGUGAGGAAUAUUGGUCAAUGGGCUUACGCCUGAACCAGCCAAGUCGCGUGAGGGAAGACUGCCCUAUGGGUUGUAAACCUCUUUUGUCAGGGAGCAACGCCGGCUACGUGUAGCCGGACUGAGAGUACCUGAAGAAAAAGCAUCGGCUAACUCCGUGCCAGCAGCCGCGGUAAUACGGAGGAUGCGAGCGUUAUCCGGAUUUAUUGGGUUUAAAGGGUGCGUAGGCGGAAUGCCAAGUCAGCGGUAAAAUCGCGGGGCUCAACCUCGCUCCGCCGUUGAAACUGGCGUUGUUGAGUGGGCGAGAAGUAUGCGGAAUGCGUGGUGUAGCGGUGAAAUGCAUAGAUAUCACGAAGAACCCCGAUUGCGAAGGCAGCAUGCCGCAGCGUUACUGACGCUGAAGCUCGAAAGCGCGGGUAUCGAACAGGAUUAGAUACCCUUGUAGUC